AACCAGUCUUGUCUGUGAGGCGUUUAAGUUGAGUCAGUAAAUCACAUGAUGCGGCAGCGCUCUGGAGUGUACCAUCACAAAGUGGAGAGAGGCACAAGCAUUCUACACUUCACAUGCUUCCCUUCAUCUGAGUCGUGUGGUUCAGACCGAGCAGUGGAUGCUUCACUGACACACAGCUGGCUGGAUUUUGAGGCCCAGUUCUGGUAACAGUGGAAUGAGGAGUGAAGUGAGCUUUGGGACAAACAUGAGUCACGGCGAAACCAAGAAACCAAACACCUCACUCGGUUCUCCUUCCUCUUUGCCACUUUCCAGCCUCCGUUCCCCCCUUUUUUUUCCUCUUUUCUUUACCGUUGUAUUUUCUGAAGAGCAACCUGGAUAGAGAAAUUAACGCCUUGUCUCGUCUUUUUAGUGUUUUUACUGUUGUUGUAGUUUUGGCCCAAGAAAAACAUUUUGACACUAAUUAAUCAACCAGUGCACUGAUGAUGUGAAAGGGACACAGAAGUGAACAUAGAAACAUCUUUUUCAGGUUUUGCUAAGUUUUUUAUAUUUUCCUACUCUAAUGCAAAAAUGGCUCCUCUGCGUGUCGUCAGCUUUUGCAGGAACCGGCAGCCAAUGAUUCAUUCAUUUGAUUGCUUGUUUUCUUGGUUCAAAAAUACCAUAAAACAGAACUUCUUAUGGUUUUCUUACAACAAUCAAGGGCACAGCAAAUAGUUAAGUGAAUUAUCCACUAGGGUGGCGCAACAGCUUGGGAUAUUUUUGUUUAUAACACUGCUUUAAACGCCACAACCAUAUGUGUUUUGGAGUUUAUGGUGGUGUUUGCCACACACAGUACAUGAUGAUGCUGACGAGGACACAGAACAGGGUGGAGUAUUGCAACAUUAUGAACCAGAAAGCUUAAUUCAGGUACAAUAUUCCAUUUUCAUCCCGCAAACAUUGCAUCUGUAACGUAGCAUUGUAAUUUAGACAGACGCUUCAUUCGGGUCACUGGAAGCUUUGGUUCCCUAAUUCAGUUACAGAUACUGAAUUGAAUUUUACUUCUUCUUACAACUUAAUUGAAAACAGCUGUGUUGUUUAUUAAUUAGCAAUAUAUUUUAAUCUGAACUGGUAUAAUGUAUGAACAAAAUAAUAAAAUGCAGUAGCACCUUAAAAUCGACACACUUUUAGAAAAAUGUGGGACCGUAAGCAGAUAAGGAGCAACUUUGGAUGCAAUACGUCAGUCAAUAGUUUGAAUUAUAUCCCAAGAAAACUAUUAGCAUUUAAAGCACCUGUUUUAUUCAGUUACCAGACAUCUAAAGAGACAAAACAAUAGAGUAUUGAGCAUUAGUGAGUUGUUAUAGCUUUCUAUGCAGCAUUAAAUGUCACACCAGCAUUAACUUUCAUAAUUUUCCAGGUUCUUUAAAAAAAAAAAACCUACAAAAAAAUGUCUCCAUUCCAUUCAUCUCGACCACGAUCAUACAUUCUUACAACUGAACGAAAAAAACAACUUUAUUUUUAUAUUAUAGGAGUUAUUAAAUUUCACAUCCAAAAAAAAAAAAAAA